AAUCAUUGAACUUAAAAUAAGUAUAUGUUUUGAAAACAUAUUGGAAAAGUCUCAACCUUCUAUUGAUUU
rnacentral:tRNA from 1 species